UGUUAUAGCUCAGUGGUAGAGCGCAUCCUUGGUAAGGAUGAGGUCGCGAGUUCAACUCUCGCUAAC
rnacentral:tRNA from 1 species